GGUAACUGGUAACAUAGCCUUUAAGGCUUCUGAUUCUAAUUCUAUUGUCGAACAUGAAAAUAACUAAAAAAAUUAUUGGAGUUCUAUUCUAUUGUCGCGUAGUGGAGUUCUACUGUCGGGGCACUGGAGUUCUAUUGUCGGUGGGGUUCUACUGUCGGUGGAGUUCUACGGUCGCCAUACCGAUGGUUCACAGGUUCAGCCUUCAGGUAUAAAAUUUACCAGAUGUUGAGUCCUCAGAGUUGAUAUUUCACAAUGUAGGCUUUAAAUUAUUUGUCAACUUGAUUGUAUUUGCAAUUUUCAAAUAACUUUCAGUUUUGUUACAACACGAAGGUAAAGGAUUUGAUUGCAUUGCAUUUGCCGCCUGAUACAGGCGAUUGUAUAGCAUCUAGCGGAGAAAUUCGUUACUGCCUAUCGGCCAUUGCCAUUCAUCGUCUGCUACUUAACUUUUUCAUUUCUAAGUUCUAACGUGGUAGGAGUGGAGACGGUCGCGGGUCGCCUGUUCGCCAUUUUCCUGGAAUUUGGAAAUUCCUUGUCUAGUUGGUUAUCUCUCUUCUAAUUGUGAUUUCCUGACUUCAGUUGGUGAGGUGUUAAGUGACGGUGAGGUGUUAAGAGAUCUGCCAGAUUGACCAGGACUCGUGUUCAUCACCAAAUUAUUUCAUGUAGUAAUUUACCUGUUAAGUGAACACUAAGAUUAUGUUGUGAUUCCUUUUCCUAAGUUGAGACAUCAACAUUUUCGUAAAAGGUUUUUUUUUUGUGUUAGGAUUCAUUUUUGACAGGAAAAUUAAAAGAAGGGUUUUUUUGGGGAGGAAGAGGUACUUUGGAUUCUUUAAUUUUAUUUCUGAAAGAUUCAAACCUAACUGUAAAUUCCUUGACCCUUGUUCUGUGGCGUUGGAGGACAGCGUCAUUUGACAGAAUUUUCGAGUAUUGUACAUUUCUUUUGUUCCUGUUCCCAGAAAAUUGACUCGGUUUCAGCCAUGUCAAGCGAUUUCGCAAUGAAUGGUCUCAAUUAGAUAUUGUUUUUUAUUAGCUUGACUUUACUUCUCCCCGAGAUUAGUUGCUCCUGACUAGUAGUUGCUAUUUUCCGUAUCAACUUCUUCCUAAUAGUAAUUGCCACAAUCUUCUCCUGACUGAAUGUCUUGGAUGCAGUUUUAUCACGGCCGUGUUUACAGUUUGACUGAUCGGCGAUUUCACGUAGUCAUACAAUUAACACAGAUUGGGAUGAAUUUUGUUCUUUUAUUUGAAGAUAUCUAAAAUGAUUUUCCAAACAUCAACCAGCCCUUUUCUCUUGCUAAAUAAACUAUAUAUAUUUGUUUACGAUAUGUAGUGUUGGUUAAAAGUAUUGAUUCUUAA